UGUCGUCAGUCAUACCACCCAAAGGCGGCCAAGCUCCUCUGAUCUCAGAAGCUAAGCAUGAUUGGGCCUGGUUAGUACUUGGAUGGGAGACUGUCUGGGAAUACCUGGUGCUAUGAGAU
rnacentral:rRNA from 1 species